rnacentral:rRNA from 1 species
UACGGAGGGGACUAGCGUUGUUCGGAAUUACUGGGCGUAAAGCGCACGUAGGCGGAUUUGUAAGUCAGGGGUGAAAUCCCAGAGCUCAACUCUGGAACUGCCUUUGAUACUGGGUAUCUUGAGUAUGGAAGAGGUGAGUGGAAUUCCCAGUGUAGAGGUGAAAUUCGUAGAUAUUGGGAAGAACACCGGUGGCGAAGGCGGCUCACUGGCUCGUAUCUGACGCUCAGGCGCGACAGCGUGGGGAUCAAACAGG